AUUGUUGCAGAUAAUUGGCAACAAUGAGUAGGAGGGCGUGGGGGUUGUGAAGAAGCUUGGACGUGAGUCUGAGUGAAACAGCUUCCAGUGCAGAUCUUGGUGGUAGUAGCAAGUAUUCAAUAAGAGAACAUUGAAGGCCGAAGUGGGGAAGGGUUCCAUGUGAACAGCACUUGGACAUGGGUUAGCCGAUCCUGAGAGACAGGUUAAAUUCCAUCGGAUUGGAGCUUUGGCUCUGUUUCUCGAAAGGGAAGCUGGUUAGUAUUCCAGCGCCGAGACGUGGAUAAUAUGUGGCAACACAAGUGAACUCGGACACGCCAUAGGGGACCCCAGGAAGCGUUGUCUUUUCUUUUUAACAGUUCGACUUACCCUGGAAUCAGAUCAUCUGGAGAUAGGGUUUUCGAACUGGAAUAGCACCUUGUCUAACAGGGUGUCUGGAGUGUUCUCGCUGGCCCUUGAAAAUCCGAGGGAUAGAUUUAUUCGCACUCUCGAUCGUACCCAUAACCGCAUCAGGUCUCCAAGGUUAGAAGCCUCUGGUCCGUAGGACAAAGUAGAUAAGGGAAGUCGGCAAAAUAGGUCCGUAACUUCGGGAAAAGGACUGGCUCUGAGGUUUGGUAUGUGGAACCUGGAUUAAUCGUUGGAGUCGAGCAGAGACUACUUGUUGCUCACGUGACUUGUGGACUCCUUGCUUGAUACCUUCAAUUGAUCCAGGCUGCUUCGGCGCUCUGCAUGCACUUAACAAACAGCUCAGAACUGGAGCGGACAAGGGGAAUCCGACUGUUUAAUCAAACAAAGCAUUGUGAUGGCCUCAAAAGUGUUGACACAAUGUGAUUUCUGCCCAGUGCUCUGAAUGUCAAGUGAUGAAUUCAACAGCGCGGGUAACGCGGGAGUACUAUGACUCUCUAGUAGCAAUGCUCGUCAUCUACUAGUGACGCGCAUGAUGAUACGAGAUCCACUGUCCUAUCUACUGUCUAGCGA
rnacentral:ncRNA from 1 species